rnacentral:rRNA from 1 species
GGGUUGUGAGGUUAAGCGACUAAGCGUACACGGUGGAUGCCCUGGCAGUCAGAGGCGAUGAAGGACGUGCUAAUCUGCGAUAAGCGUCGGUAAGGUGAUAUGAACCGUUAUAACCGGCGAUUUCCGAAUGGGGAAACCCAGUGUGAUUCGUCACACUAUCAUUAACUGAAUCCAUAGGUUAAUGAGGCGAACCGGGGGAACUGAAACAUCUAAGUACCCCGAGGAAAAGAAAUCAACCGAGAUUCCCCCAGUAGCGGCGAGCGAACGGGGAGCAGCCCAGAGCCUGAAUCAGUGUGUGUGUUAGUGGAAGCGUCUGGAAAGGCGCGCGAUACAGGGUGACAGCCCCGUACACAAAAAUGCACAUGCUGUGAGCUCGAUGAGUAGGGCGGGACACGUGGUAUCCUGUCUGAAUAUGGGGGGACCAUCCUCCAAGGCUAAAUACUCCUGACUGACCGAUAGUGAACCAGUACCGUGAGGGAAAGGCGAAAAGAACCCCGGCGAGGGGAGUGAAAAAGAACCUGAAACCGUGUACGUACAAGCAGUGGGAGCACAGAGCAAUCUGUGUGACUGCGUACCUUUUGUAUAAUGGGUCAGCGACUUAUAUUCUGUAGCAAGGUUAACCGAAUAGGGGAGCCGAAGGGAAACCGAGUCUUAACUGGGCGUUAAGUUGCAGGGUAUAGACCCGAAACCCGGUGAUCUAGCCAUGGGCAGGUUGAAGGUUGGGUAACACUAACUGGAGGACCGAACCGACUAAUGUUGAAAAAUUAGCGGAUGACUUGUGGCUGGGGGUGAAAGGCCAAUCAAACCGGGAGAUAGCUGGUUCUCCCCGAAAGCUAUUUAGGUAGCGCCUCGUGAAUUCAUCUCCGGGGGUAGAGCACUGUUUCGGCAAGGGGGUCAUCCCGACUUACCAACCCGAUGCAAACUGCGAAUACCGGAGAAUGUUAUCACGGGAGACACACGGCGGGUGCUAACGUCCGUCGUGAAGAGGGAAACAACCCAGACCGCCAGCUAAGGUCCCAAAGUCAUGGUUAAGUGGGAAACGAUGUGGGAAGGCCCAGACAGCCAGGAUGUUGGCUUAGAAGCAGCCAUCAUUUAAAGAAAGCGUAAUAGCUCACUGGUCGAGUCGGCCUGCGCGGAAGAUGUAACGGGGCUAAACCAUGCACCGAAGCUGCGGCAGCGACGCUUAUGCGUUGUUGGGUAGGGGAGCGUUCUGUAAGCCUGCGAAGGUGUGCUGUGAGGCAUGCUGGAGGUAUCAGAAGUGCGAAUGCUGACAUAAGUAACGAUAAAGCGGGUGAAAAGCCCGCUCGCCGGAAGACCAAGGGUUCCUGUCCAACGUUAAUCGGGGCAGGGUGAGUCGACCCCUAAGGCGAGGCCGAAAGGCGUAGUCGAUGGGAAACAGGUUAAUAUUCCUGUACUUGGUGUUACUGCGAAGGGGGGACGGAGAAGGCUAUGUUGGCCGGGCGACGGUUGUCCCGGUUUAAGCGUGUAGGCUGGUUUUCCAGGCAAAUCCGGAAAAUCAAGGCUGAGGCGUGAUGACGAGGCACUACGGUGCUGAAGCAACAAAUGCCCUGCUUCCAGGAAAAGCCUCUAAGCAUCAGGUAACAUCAAAUCGUACCCCAAACCGACACAGGUGGUCAGGUAGAGAAUACCAAGGCGCUUGAGAGAACUCGGGUGAAGGAACUAGGCAAAAUGGUGCCGUAACUUCGGGAGAAGGCACGCUGAUAUGUAGGUGAAGUCCCUCGCGGAUGGAGCUGAAAUCAGUCGAAGAUACCAGCUGGCUGCAACUGUUUAUUAAAAACACAGCACUGUGCAAACACGAAAGUGGACGUAUACGGUGUGACGCCUGCCCGGUGCCGGAAGGUUAAUUGAUGGGGUCAGCGCAAGCGAAGCUCUUGAUCGAAGCCCCGGUAAACGGCGGCCGUAACUAUAACGGUCCUAAGGUAGCGAAAUUCCUUGUCGGGUAAGUUCCGACCUGCACGAAUGGCGUAAUGAUGGCCAGGCUGUCUCCACCCGAGACUCAGUGAAAUUGAACUCGCUGUGAAGAUGCAGUGUACCCGCGGCAAGACGGAAAGACCCCGUGAACCUUUACUAUAGCUUGACACUGAACAUUGAGCCUUGAUGUGUAGGAUAGGUGGGAGGCUUUGAAGUGUGGACGCCAGUCUGCAUGGAGCCGACCUUGAAAUACCACCCUUUAAUGUUUGAUGUUCUAACGUGGACCCGUAAUCCGGGUUGCGGACAGUGUCUGGUGGGUAGUUUGACUGGGGCGGUCUCCUCCUAAAGAGUAACGGAGGAGCACGAAGGUUGGCUAAUCCUGGUCGGACAUCAGGAGGUUAGUGCAAUGGCAUAAGCCAGCUUGACUGCGAGCGUGACGGCGCGAGCAGGUGCGAAAGCAGGUCAUAGUGAUCCGGUGGUUCUGAAUGGAAGGGCCAUCGCUCAACGGAUAAAAGGUACUCCGGGGAUAACAGGCUGAUACCGCCCAAGAGUUCAUAUCGACGGCGGUGUUUGGCACCUCGAUGUCGGCUCAUCACAUCCUGGGGCUGAAGUAGGUCCCAAGGGUAUGGCUGUUCGCCAUUUAAAGUGGUACGCGAGCUGGGUUUAGAACGUCGUGAGACAGUUCGGUCCCUAUCUGCCGUGGGCGCUGGAGAAUUGAGGGGGGCUGCUCCUAGUACGAGAGGACCGGAGUGGACGCAUCACUGGUGUUCGGGUUGUCAUGCCAAUGGCACUGCCCGGUAGCUAAAUGCGGAAGAGAUAAGUGCUGAAAGCAUCUAAGCACGAAACUUGCCCCGAGAUGAGUUCUCCCUGACUCCUUGAGAGUCCUGAAGGAACGUUGAAGACGACGACGUUGAUAGGCCGGGUGUGUAAGCGCAGCGAUGCGUUGAGCUAACCGGUACUAAUGAACCGUGAGGCUUAACCUUACAACGCCGAAG